UCACUGCAUUAACUAACUAACAGUGUUAGUUAAUGUUAAUGAUAAAUAACUAAUAAGUAAUUAUUCAUAGAGCCAUGUACCUUUAUACUUCUACUUUUUUCCUUCACCACAGGCGGUUAGCAGGCAGCUAACCUUCCAAAGCUCCACCCCCUGAGCAGAUGUGGGAGCUCACUUAUCUUCAAAUCAAGCCGUCAUUGCUUCAGGCCUCCUGCAAGUCCAAACCUCACAAACCUUCAUCUGCUUGAACAGUCCGAAGGCUUAAACUGUCCCUGUUUGAUGACAUAUUUCAGACUCUGGUUAUUCCAGCUGUGGAAGCCUGACAGCAACUGAGACAGGAACCAACAAACCACAGCAGCUCUCUGGC